rnacentral:lncRNA from 1 species
AUCUUAUCCUUCUUAAUCCCCGAUUGAGACCUUGUGCUGCAGGAGCGUGGUGGUGUGCAAAAGCAUUGUUUCAGAGGAUGCAGACGUGUUAAUAAAAGGUUCUGUGGUUUUUUUGGGGUCCAGGCACAGGUUGCUCUGGGGCUCCCAGGCAUCUCUGCAAUCAAGGAAAUCAGUGCCAAUUGUCGCAUCAGCAUGUCGAGCUCUGCAGGUGCCAGCACACUGGAACACAUGCUUGGGUUGGCGGGUGGUUGGAGGAGUGAGCUGUGCUUUUUCAUCCCCACAUCCCCAGCGCCCAGCAUGGAGAAGGGAUGUGAUCAAUAUCUGUUGGAAAUGGAACAAGCCUCAGGAUAAACAGCCCCAUCCUGGGAUGCGCCAUACAGUGGUCAUUGUUCUAAAGGCUCGAUCGGGGAAACUGAGUUUCAAAAGGCCUAAGUCGCGGACCCAGCUGGUCUCUAUCAGGAGCGGCCAGGCGGCUGGGGCAGGUGCUGCUGCUCCCUCCAUCCUCAUUGCAGGGAGUAGGUCAGAGGCGUUGGACCAACCUCGUUGGGGACUGGGGCUCAUAGCUUGUCUUGCUGGCAAGUGGGCUUGAGAGGAGGGAUGUGAAGGGGACAGUGCAGCAUUUUGCUCAGAGCUGGGUGCCCUGCCCAGCCCCACCAGGCCCUGGAGUCACUAUUGGCAGACAGAAGGGACCAUGGCUAUUUAAACUCUAUGCUCAUCCCGGCCCAAACGAUGCUGCACUGAUGCUCAGGUAAAGGGUUGGCUAAGAAGGGGGACAGGCCACCCACAGUGCCACAUGGUGUGGCUUGGACGCACCUGUCAU